AGGGUUCGAUUAUGGCUCAGAUUGAACGCUGGCGGCAGGCCUAACACAUGCAAGUCGAGCGGUAACAGGGGAAGCUUGCUUCUCGCUGACGAGCGGCGGACGGGUGAGUAAUGUAUGGGGAUCUGCCCGAUAGAGGGGGAUAACUACUGGAAACGGUAGCUAAUACCGCAUAAUCUCUUAGGAGCAAAGCAGGGGAACUUCGGUCCUUGCGCUAUCGGAUGAACCCAUAUGGGAUUAGCUAGUUGGUGAGGUAAUGGCUCACCAAGGCGACGAUCCCUAGCUGGUCUGAGAGGAUGAUCAGCCACACUGGGACUGAGACACGGCCCAG
rnacentral:rRNA from 1 species